rnacentral:lncRNA from 1 species
GUCCAAGAAUCAGGUUAUUCAAAUGUUGAACAUCUGAUUUAUUUUUGUGUGGUGUGAUACUUUGAGAAAGAGUUCUUAGAGUAGUACUAGUGGAGGUCAUGAAGGCUACAAGUGUUGGUGCAACCUGUUCUUGUGAAGGACAAUCGGUAGCAUACUUAAGAAGAAGGCUGCAGCACCAUAUCGAGUUAGGAAGGACCCUGAUCAAUCCUAUGUGGAUCACCGUUGGAGUGCUUCUACUUUAGAGUCUCGUGGAGAUCUUAAAAUCACUAGUUUGUGGUCUUCAUGAUGGUAUAUGACUU